rnacentral:rRNA from 1 species
GAUGAACGCUAGCGGCAGGCUUAACACAUGCAAGUCGAGGGGUAUGGCAGCAAUGCCAGAGACCGGCGCACGGGUGCGUAACGCGUAUGCAAUCUACCUUUUACAGAGGGAUAGCCCAGAGAAAUUUGGAUUAAUACCUCAUAGUAUUACACAAUGGCAUCAUUGAGUAAUUAAAGUCACAACGGUAAAAGAUGAGCAUGCGUCCCAUUAGCUAGUUGGUAAGGUAACGGCUUACCAAGGCUACGAUGGGUAGGGGUCCUGAGAGGGAGAUCCCCCACACUGGUACUGAGACACGGACCAGACUCCUACGGGAGGCAGCAGUAGGGAAUAUUGGGCAAUGGGCGCAAGCCUGACCCAGCCAUGCCGCGUGCAGGAUGAAGGCCUUCUGGGUUGUAAACUGCUUUUAUCUAGGAAGAAAACGCCCAUGCGUGGGAAACUGACGGUACUAGAUGAAUAAGCACCGGCUAACUCCGUGC